CCUGGCUCAGGAUUAACGCUGGCGGCGUGCCUAAUACAUGCAAGUCGAAUGGUAGCAAUACCAUGGCGAACGGGUGAGUAACACGUAGGUAACCUGUCUUUAAGCCGAGGAUAACCAUUGGAAACGAUGGAUAAUACUGGAUAGGACAUUUGUAGGCAUCUUUAGAUGUUUAAAGAUUUAUCACUUAGAGAGGGGCCUGCGGCGCAUUAGCUAGUUGGUGAGGUGAAGGCUUACCAAGGCGAUGAUGCGUAGCCGGACUGAGAGGUUGAACGGCCACAAUGGAACUGAGAACGGUCCAUACUCCUACGGGAGGCAGCAGUAGGGAAUUUUCGGCAAUGGGCGGAAGCCUGACCGAGCAACGCCGCGUGAACGAAGAAGUAUUUCGGUAUGUAAAGUUCUUUUAUUAGGGACGAAAAGACAGAUUGACGGUACCUAAUGAAUAAGCUCCGGCUAACUACGUGCCAGCAGCCGC
rnacentral:rRNA from 1 species